GUUGACAAUAGGAAAGGAGGGAGAGAAGGCAGAAAGCAAACAGGGAAAAUAAGAAGAGAGGAGGAACAGAGAGGAUGAAGUAAGAGAGAAGGACAAGCUACUCUGAAAGGAGCUAGAAUUGUCAGAAGAGCAUAGGAGAAAUGAAGAUAGCAAGAUUUUGAAUACUAAUGUUAAUGUGAUCUCGUGACACCUAGCCGGAAACUUGUUCCAAGAUUUCCCCCUGGUUUGCAUUAAUGCAACUUGCCCAAUAUUCCAACUCCCCCCACCCCAUGUCCUUCUAAG
rnacentral:lncRNA from 1 species